GGGCGGGCGGGCUCGGCCCGGCCCCCGGCAGCGGCCGGGCCGGCUGCAGGGGGCGCCGGGCGGCGGCGGUCGGGCCGGCCCUCGGCGGGAGGGGGCUGCGCCUCAGGCUAAUUGUGAAACUCGGGGAUGACUCCUGUCUUGUCUCGCUCCUCCCCUGAGAAAGUUCUCCUUUAUCAAAAACAUGGGAUCAAACUUGGGCAAGCGCACGAAGAGCAAAUUACGCCGGAACACGUCUCACUGCAAUUCCUUGAGCCUUUGGAAGAGGCAUUAAUAGAUAAUCAGGGUCCGGUUCCAGCCUUUUUACUCAGCUAAAGCUGCCUAAGAUAGCCACGAAACUUCGCCUCAAUAAGGACUGCCAACUUGACUUCCAUCCCUUCACCUCACAGCUGGAAUUCUUCCAGGUGAGCAAUGUCAGACUGGAGAUGAGAAAUACUGAAUAGCACAUUUCAGCUCAGUGAAUAUAGGCUAUGAAUACGCUGGUACAAAUGGUACCACAAAAAUCCCCUAGAUUUCUGAAAAGGCUCUUGAAGAACAUGGGGGGGGCUAUAUUAAAACACAUUAAAGCCAUUAAAAACAUACAAUAUUUGCAUGCGCUAUGUCUUGCAUUUAACAUACUCUAUUUCACGCUUCUUUAGUAAUUGCCUUAAAUUUCCUAAUGGAAGCAAGGGAAGACUGGCGAAAAGCGUUAAAGAAAGGUUGGCAUUUAAAGGGAGAUGCUCAACUGAUAGAAAACGGCUCCGCUUACAUCAUUUGUGCUACGGCAAUUGGUAUGAGCUGAUGAUCUACCCUUCCUAGUCAAAGAACCCCAGAGUGCUGGGUACAUAUAUGCACCGUGAGAGCGUUUUAACUCGACCACAUCCAGUCCCAAUAACAGAGUAUGUGUCGCUAAAAUGCACGUGCAACGGUAGGAAAAAAAAAAAAUCCAAAUACCUAUCCACUCUAGCUGCACUGGAGAUUAUAGUUUAUAAUGCAGAUUAAUGCAUUAUUUGAUUCCAGCUCUAAUAUUGAUUCCCUUCAUAACAAGCACAUUUACCUCUUUUUCUCUAGGUCACUUUGGCAUCUAUAAGCUGAUUUUUUUCCUCCACCUCAAAAAGUUGUUCUGAGGAGAUCUGGAUGAAUAACGGUAUAUGUGUCAGGUUAACAAUUCAUCGUGUUUAAAAGAUUUUAUUGACUCUUUCCUAAUUUUGGUGGUCGGUGAUAACUACAGUUUUUAACCGGACUCCCCACACUGAGCAAAUUAAUUUCAGGGCUGCCUGUCUGAACUCCCUCUGCAGAUCAAGUUAGCGAUGUUAUUCUUUCUUGGCUCCCUUACUUACCAAAGGGGAAGCCAAAAUAUAACAAAAUGUAUGCAUACCACUGUUAAAGAGAGUAACUGCGUCGCUCGUGGCUGUUUUGGGAGUAGCCGAGGCAUUCCUGUAACCUGUAGGUUACAAAAACAUGUCGUACGCUUCAGAGUGAAAAGGUAUAGACCAGUGUAGGUCAUCAAAAUAAAGAGUCACUUUGCAAAUGUGUUAGGACCCAUCUAUGCAUUUCAAGGGAAAGGUGAAGAACUCAGGUCUCCUGUAAAACAUGAAAGUCGGGUCUAGAAAUUUCUAAGACAUAUAUUGUGUAUAUUUUGAGUAUAAAGUCCCCAAAUCUCUCUGGGAAAAAUGUGGGAUAAGCCUUACAUUUUCUCUGACUUUUAUUUAGCUCCAUCAUGCAACUCUUACUGGAGUCAGGAAGAGCUUUCCCAUUCAAAAGUCAGCUGUGAAUUAAGGAAAGGAUUGUAUAGAAAUUUGAAAUUGCACACAGACAUGUCCAACCCUGACAGGCAAAGGAGAAGUUGUGGCUUCAUUUGACGCCUGUCACUUAUUUCUCAGAACAGCUAUAGGAACAGCACUUCCCAAUGACUUCUGACAAUUUGCAUAGAAAAUUAACUUGCACAGAUUCAAAACCUGCAAUAAAUAGUUUCCUCUAUCCUGCUGCUCUUUUUCUGUGUUUUGAGAGCGAGGGAGAGGUCUGAGCGGGUUUUUUUUCCCUUCAUCAUUUUUGCCUUCCCUUCACCUAAAUCUCCCUUUGCUCCCAUUAGAAUAAAAAGCCUGCUGACGAGCAGGUACAAAAAGAACGAUGUGGCUUUUGCCACAAAGACUAUGUAUUUUAUCAGCAGGUUACCAGGUAAAGGGUUGAGUGGUUUAGCUGAAAUUAGAGUCUCGUAAAGGAAAUCAGUGCAGUGGUUAACCUUAAAACUGCAUUCAUGGAUGUACUCUUUAACAAAUGCAGCAAUGAAAUGAUAAACAUGACCCAAAUCCUGGCCCUUACCGGGGGGAGGGGGAAAUGGAGAUAAAAAAAAAAAAGAUCGGCUCCUUGUUUAUCUGAGCCCUGCGCGCAGAAGGAAGCGGGUUUGGAUGCUUCAGCCAGGACUCUGCAUUUCCAAGCAGAGGGGCUGCAAUCCAUCUGCCUCCCAAGUUUCAGCUGAGUUUCGGAUGACGACGGCAGCCAAUUUAAAUGUCACUGUUUAAUAGGAUAAUGUGUUCGCGGGAAUCAGCUUCGCCGCCUUCCUCCCACGAUGUCUUCAUCUCUCCAGGCAAAAAUCUCGGGUCUCCCUUGCCUGAUCCUUUCGGUGUCAGCUCCAUGUUACCGGAACACGCAUACAGCUGUUUUCCCUAUCACAGCUGCAUCUCCGGCAGCAGCUUCGGGGCUGGAGGA